GGGGCGAAGUCAAUGAGGGCGGAGGUAAGGCACGAGGAGAGGCUAUAAGACGACUUAAGAAAUAAGAAAGAAGGUUGUCCAGCGGCUGGUGCACCGGGGGUGUUAGGCGCCAGGAUCAGAGUGUGACGCGCCAGACCUGGCAGCGCGUGGAGACCGUACUGGAGUUUGGAUUUAUCCCCCAAUCACGGGGGAAAGACUCAACUCAGAGAUUAGCUCCCGGGAAGGCAGCCGAAAAGCCUCGGCUGGAGCGGAACUAGGGGCUGUCCCCCGGUUAAAGACCUCCAAGUCCGGGUACCCGAAUGCCCGGCAAACUGCAGCUUUGGGUAAAACCAUUCUCCGGAGUCGGAGAGGGGAGAAAAGCCCAGUACUCCGAGCCGAAGUCCGCGGAAACAGCGGCAACAUCCACUCUCUUCUCCUCGCUCUUCUCUUACUUUUUGUGCUCUGGCCCGCCCCCAUAAACUUGUCCCGCCGCGCAUCCCCUCGCCCCGGGCACCACCAUUUGCUCCUCUCGGCCGCCCCUCCCGCGCGUGGUACGGCCCGCGGGCGCACAUCCAGACACAGGUUGUAAAGCCCCAGCUGCGCGAGUCAACAGGGACUCAACAUGCGCCGUAAAGUGUCGGGGCCGGGUUCUGCCGGGCACCGGCUGGGACCUGGGGAUCCCGCGGCAGUAGCCAUAACUCCUCUAUCCGCAACCAAUCCGACUUCUGGAGCCCUCUGCCGUGCCUGAACCCGCCUCUGCGCAAGCACCCGCGGCCGGACAGAGAGCAGGAUCCGGUUCCACAGGCCGUCUCGGGACCCUCAGCCGGGGCUCGCCGGGCCUCCGUGGCUGGAUCGGAGGCUGGAACCCAGCGCGCAUCCGCAUUCUCGGCGGUCCAGGGGAAUGCCCAGUCCGUACCCAACAACUGGGAUGCGUCGCGGACUCGCUUCAUAUUCCAAGGGCCGCCCUUUGGUCCCCAAGCCGGACUGGAAAGGUGACGAGCAUCUGAAGACACCGGCUGCCUACAUCGGCCAGCGGCCUGGGGUGUUCCUGCCCCGAGCGCGCCGCCUUUUUCGGGAGCUGGAGGAAGUGCUGUGUCCUGACCUACGUCCGCCCGUCAAGAAGAUCACCCAAGAAGAGGUCAAAAUGAUGUUAAGUUUGCUGGAGGAGCUUCUCCCACGUGUCUGGGAGACCCCAGCAGCCAGGAACCCUGUUCCCCAAUGGAUGGGGGUCCUUCUGUAGAGAGAGCGGGACCUGAACACGGCAGCCUGCAUUGGUCAGUCCCUGGUGAAACAAAACAGUGUUCUGUUGGAGGAGAACAGCAAGCUGGAAGCCAUGCUGGAUUCAGCCAAGGAGGAGGUACCUGGGUGGGGAGGAGCAGGGAGGGGUGAAUCUCAGGCCUGCUGCCAACCCACUGUGCCAGGGUCUGUGCCUGCCUCUGCCCGCACCUGACCCUGGACUCCUCUUCCCUUGCCAGAUUUUACAUCUCAGACAGCAGAUGAACCUGCGGGAUGACCUCCUUCAGCUGUACUCAGACUCUGAUGAGGAGAAGGAUGAAGAUGAAGAAGAGAAGGAAGAAGGAAGAGAGGAAGAGGAGGAGGGGGACGAAGAAGAAGAGCAGAGGCCUGAGCAUCCCUGUGAAGCCUCAGAGCUGUGAGUGUCCUGCCCUUUUUUUUUUGUUUCUGUUUUCCCCAUGCCUCAUGGCUUUCAGGAUCUCAGUUCCCGGACCAGAGAUUGAGCCUAGCCACAGCAGUGAAAACGCCGCAUCCUAACCGCUGGACCGCCAGGGAAUUCCCCAUGAGUGUCCGGCCUUUGCACCAGGGCAGUCCCUUCUCUGAGCUUCAGUUUCCUUGUUUGGAAACAGGAACGCCAUGUAUCUGCCGUGGGGUGGCUGGGGCUAAUUGAGGCCACCACAUCAGCCUGGGA
rnacentral:lncRNA from 1 species